AUAAAUUAAAUUUAAUCUUUGAAAUAGUGUUGUUUAUAAAGUGAAAUGGAAAAGAAAAACCCUUCAAGGUGCUGCCUUUAUAAUCUAUUUAUACCAUGCAAUAUGCAGUAUCCAACUUUCAUGUGUCUGUUGAGUAACAAAAGAGAAGAGAAAUGGAGAGAGAAGACCAAAGCCAAAGUGCAUAUCUUCAGUCUCCAUUGAUUCAGCACUCAUAUUCAUCAGGGCAGGGUGANNN
rnacentral:lncRNA from 1 species